rnacentral:rRNA from 1 species
AACGAACGCUGGCGGCAGGCCUAACACAUGCAAGUCGAGCGGACCCUUCGGGGUUAGCGGCGGACGGGUGAGUAACGCGUGGGAAUAUGCCCUUCUCUACGGAAUAGUCCUGGGAAACUGGGGGUAAUACCGUAUACGCCCUUUGGGGGAAAGAUUUAUCGGGGAAGGAUUAGCCCGCGUUGGAUUAGGUAGUUGGUGGGGUAAUGGCCUACUAAGCCGACGAUCCAUAGCUGGUUUGAGAGGAUGAUCAGCCACACUGGGACUGAGACACGGCCCAGAAUCCUACGGGAGGCAGCAGUGGGGAAUCUUAGACAAUGGGGGCAACCCUGAUCUAGCCAUGCCGCGUGAGUGAUGAAGGCCUUAGGGUUGUAAAGCUCUUUCAGCUGGGAAGAUAAUGACGGUACCAGCAGAAGAAGCCCCGGCUAACUCCGUG